GACGAACGCUGGCGGCGUGCUUAACACAUGCAAGUCGAGCGGUAAGGCCCUUUCGGGGGUACGACGAGCGGCGAACGGGUGAGUAACACGUGGGUGGACCUGCCCUCCAGCUCUGGGAGUAAGCCUGGGAAACGUAGGGUCGUAAUACCGGAUAUGACUCCAUGACGCAUGUUGUGGGGUGGAAAGCCUUGUGCGGCUGAGGAUGGGCCCGCCGGCCUAUCAGCUUGUUGGUGGGGU
rnacentral:rRNA from 1 species